rnacentral:rRNA from 1 species
GGCACUACGGUGCUGAAGCAACAAAUGCCCUGCUUCCAGGAAAAGCCUCUAAGCAUCAGGUAACAUCAAAUCGUACCCCAAACCGACACAGGUGGUCAGGUAGAGAAUACCAAGGCGCUUGAGAGAACUCGGGUGAAGGAACUAGGCAAAAUGGUGCCGUAACUUCGGGAGAAGGCACGCUGAUAUGUAGGUGAAGUCCCUCGCGGAUGGAGCUGAAAUCAGUCGAAGAUACCAGCUGGCUGCAACUGUUUAUUAAAAACACAGCACUGUGCAAACACGAAAGUGGACGUAUACGGUGUGACGCCUGCCCGGUGCCGGAAGGUUAAUUGAUGGGGUUAGCGGUAACGCGAAGCUCUUGAUCGAAGCCCCGGUAAACGGCGGCCGUAACUAUAACGGUCCUAAGGUAGCGAAAUUCCUUGUCGGGUAAGUUCCGACCUGCACGAAUGGCGUAAUGAUGGCCAGGCUGUCUCCACCCGAGACUCAGUGAAAUUGAACUCGCUGUGAAGAUGCAGUGUACCCGCGGCAAGACGGAAAGACCCCGUGAACCUUUACUAUAGCUUGACACUGAACAUUGAGCCUUGAUGUGUAGGAUAGGUGGGAGGCUUUGAAGUGUGGACGCCAGUCUGCAUGGAGCCGGCCUUGAAAUACCACCCUUUAAUGUUUGAUGUUCUAACGUUGGCCCCUGAUCGGGGUUGCGGACAGUGUCUGGUGGGUAGUUUGACUGGGGCGGUCUCCUCCUAAAGAGUAACGGAGGAGCACGAAGGUUGGCUAAUCCUGGUCGGACAUCAGGAGGUUAGUGCAAUGGCAUAAGCCAGCUUGACUGCGAGCGUGACGGCGCGAGCAGGUGCGAAAGCAGGUCAUAGUGAUCCGGUGGUUCUGAAUGGAAGGGCCAUCGCUCAACGGAUAAAAGGUACUCCGGGGAUAACAGGCUGAUACCGCCCAAGAGUUCAUAUCGACGGCGGUGUUUGGCACCUCGAUGUCGGCUCAUCACAUCCUGGGGCUGAAGUAGGUCCCAAGGGUAUGGCUGUUCGCCAUUUAAAGUGGUACGCGAGCUGGGUUUAGAACGUCGUGAGACAGUUCGGUCCCUAUCUGCCGUGGGCGCUGGAGAACUGAGGGGGGCUGCUCCUAGUACGAGAGGACCGGAGUGGACGCAUCACUGGUGUUCGGGUUGUCAUGCCAAUGGCACUGCCCGGUAGCUAAAUGCGGAAGAGAUAAGUGCUGAAAGCAUCUAAGCACGAAACUUGCCCCGAGAUGAGUUCUCCCUGACUCCUUGAGAGUCCUGAAGGAACGUUGAAGACGACGACGUUGAUAGGCCGGGUGUGUAAGCGCAGCGAUGCGUUGAGCUAACCGGUACUAAUGAACCGUGAGG